GUUAAUACUUAAUAUACACUUUUUUAUUGGACUAACAUAAAAGUGAAUGAACAUUAUUCGAGGGAUCUUUAGAAAACAAACAAAUAAAAAGUGAGAUUUCUUCAAGGCGAUACCAAAUACCCUGACAGUGAACUGGGUGUACUCUACCUUGGUACAGAGUCUUCACGUCCCCUUCAGGCACUAAAUGUGCCUUAAAUAAGACGAUUGUUGGCCACAAAUACAGUACAGCUCCAAGAACAGUUUGAGAUGUGGCUGAACAUCUCUGUAGAUUUCUUUUUUGGAAUCCAAGUGGUAAAUAAUGAUUUUCAAGCUCUGUCUUUGGCAUCAGCACAGUUACGCACUUAAGAUUUUUCUUUACUUAUUCUUGUUUCCAGGAACAUGAUGCCACCAUAGUUUAAUGCUUUUCAAGAUUAUAUUAGCAUUACGAAUGUUAACAGGAUAAAAUUCUUGG